rnacentral:lncRNA from 1 species
GUUCUGGUUUAUAAAUUCAACGAGUGAAAAGGCCUAAUCAGCUUUGCAUGGAUAGAUUUUGUUAAUUUUCUGUUAUUUUUUAUUGAGGCAGAGAUGCCAAUUUCUUCAGGAGCUCAAGGACACAUUGGAUUUGGAGUAGACACAUCCAUCCAAUGGUUUCCUAAAGGAGGAAAGAAACUAUAUAUGCCUUUCAAGGUGAAUUCCUACCUCCAGAGGUAUUUAUAUUGCCACUCUGAAGCCAAAAGCAGACUUUUUCAUAAACAUUCAAAAAACUUCCAUUAUCCAGGCACUCAGUCAUGGCCUAUCAAGAAAUCUUUUUCUAAGGAAAUAUUCAAACCAGAUGAAAAGACAACCUGGAAAAAUCAGCAAGAAAGGAUGGCAUCCCAAAACGGAAGCAUUUUGGCUACUAGUACAGGGCUUGCCAGCAAAAGAACUAGAAAGAAAAUCCCCAAACAGAAAAGUGAUGCAACCAGAUCUUCCUUUUGCACCCUGCUGUAAUUAUCACUGAAGGAAUUCGAGGAAGCCUAAUUUCAGAAACAUCCUGAGAGACCUAAUUUACGCCUUUUACUCAGACUGCAGGCAUGAUUGACCACCACAUAAUUCUUUAAAAAUGGCAUUAAAUAACCCAGAAGUCCGAUUUUUUCGACAGCAGGCCUGAUUUCAUUCGAAUCUCCUGAGGUGCAUUGGGCCAGAAGGGUGCCGAGGAUCGAAGCCUUAACUAUAAUUUGCUUCCGAAGGAGUGAAGUUCCCAUUUUUUCCUAAUAAGGAAUAUACUGCUGCACCCGGAUAUUGCUCCAGCUUUCCCGCAACGUUUUCAGAGGCAGAGACCAGCUACCGGUAUUGUGCCCGAAAAUCCUGGAUUUUUAUUUUUUAUUUUUUAAAUCUCUAAUCGUCGCUUAACAAGAAUUGCCACCGCCUCCGGGACUUCCCGCAGUUCGUCAUAGGGACUUUGGAAAGCGGCCCUUCCCGCGCAAUUACAGAAGAAAAAGCCUGAGAGGCCGAGCCUUCCGCUCCGUUCCCAGGGCGACGAGCCAAGAGCGAGCGAGCCACGUUCGUUAUUUUCCGACGGGCCCUGACAUCACGUGACAUUGCCGCCCCAACCUUGCGGGAGGCGUUCCCACUCUCGGCCCCGCCUCCGAUCCACUAUUGAGGGAGAGCGAGGGGCGUCCUGACGUCACCCAAUCCUGUGCGGUGUUUUGUCCGGUGGGGGGGCGGAAAAAAAAGGCGGGAGGUUCGCGCCUCCCGUCCCCCCCCCCCGCUCCCCNGGUUCGCGCCUCCCGUCCCCCGUCCCCCCCCGCUCCCCUCUGCGGCCUAAGUCCGAGGGAAGGCAGAGAC